rnacentral:rRNA from 1 species
GAUGAACGCUGGCGGCGCGCCUAACACAUGCAGGUCGAACGAUUAAAGCACCUUCGGGUGUGUAUAAAGUGGCGAACGGCUGAGUAACACGUGGGCAACCUGCCCCUCUCAUUGGGAUAGCCACGGGAAACCGUGGAUAAUACCGAAUACUUCGGGACUUCCGCAUGGAAGACUCGAGAAAGCUCCGGCGGAGAGGGAUGGGCCCGCGGCCUGUUAGCUUGUUGGUGGGGUAAUGGCCUACCAAGGCAAUGAUGGGUAGCUGGGUUGAGAGACCGACCAGCCAGAUUGGGACUGAGACACGGCCCAGACUCCUACGGGAGGCAGCAGUGGGGAAUCUUGCACAAUGGGCGAAAGCCUGAUGCAGCGACGCCGCGUGCGGGAUGAAGGCCUUCGGGUUGUAAACCGCUUUCAGCAGGGACGAGGCGAAAGUGACGGUACCUGCAGAAGAAGCCCCGGCUAACUACGUG